UCUCCUGAAACGAGCAUGGACUAAGGUGAAAAAGAAAUUCGAGCAGUUCUGGCGAAGGUGGGUUUUGGAGUACCUGCCAACACUAACCAAACGUACUAAGUGGUUCAAUGAAACGAGAGAUAUUGCGGUAGGAGAUGUGGUACUCAUAUUCAAUGAAGGAAAGCGGAAUUCCUGGGAGCGAGGAUUGAUCGUAGAACUCAUCGCUGCAUCGGAUGGACGGAUUCGACAAGCCUGGUUUCGAACGGGCAAUGGUGUAUAUCGGAAGCCGAUUGCUAAGCUAGCAAUCCUUGAAGUGUCGUCUCGAGAAAAUGGUUCCAGAGAGUUGCCUGACUGCGAAGGUGGCUCCAUAGUGAGCAACGAUGAAGGCGUGAACGAGGAUUCCGGAAGUGAUGAAACCGAGGCCAGCCGUAGGUUCCAUCGGGGGGAGAAUGUUGGAAAACUGGCCACCGUGCCAGUCCGCGGUUUUUGCAAAAGUCGCUGAGAAAUAACAGCGAAAACUAAACGUCAUCGUUGCCGCCAAAAGUGACGGCACGAGGAAAAUUUUCACUUCUGUUAGCCAUUUUCGUAUCGAGUUGCGUACUGCGUAGAAGCAGAAAGUUUGUAUUUGUACUGAAAACUAAAUGUUUGAAGUGUUCCGUUUUGCUAAAUAUUGUUGAUUUUUGGAAUCAGGAGCGUAGGAUCAUUAUCAGGCAAAAACGCUGAUAUUGGAUUGACCAUCUCUGUUGAACAGAGCGCUAAAAGUAGCAAAUCGGACUCUUUGCUCUCGAUACGAGGUUGAACUGAGUUGUAUUAGGGCCGGAAUAGCUAGGGUCACUGAUUUGUAAGUUCUAACCUAUAAAACCAUUUUGAACCAUGUUUGUAACAACUUAUCAUUUGUUCCGUAGAAUUGAAGCAUCACUACAAAACUAUAAAUAUAGUCUGCUAUCAGUACCAGUGCAUCGCUUUUCAUU